rnacentral:rRNA from 1 species
GACGAACGCUGGCGGCGUGCUUAACACAUGCAAGUCGAACGGAAAGGCCCUGCUUGCAGGGUGCUCGAGUGGCGAACGGGUGAGUAACACGUGGGUGAUCUGCCCCUUACUUUGGGAUAAGCCUGGGAAACUGGGUCUAAUACUGGAUAGGACCAUGCUGUAGGUGGUGUGGUGGAAAGAUUAGUUUCGGUAAGGGAUGAGCUCGCGGCCUAUCAGCGUGUUGGUGGGGUAAUGGCCUACCAAGGCGUCGACGGGUAGCCGGCCUGAGAGGGUGGACGGCCACAUUGGGACUGAGAUACGGGCCAGACUCCUACGGGAGGCAGCAGUGGGGAAUAUUGCACAAUGGGCGCAAGCCUGAUGCAGCGACGCCGCGUGGGGGAUGACGGCCUUCGGGUUGUAAACUCCUUUCAGCCAUGACGAAGCCCUUGUGGUGACGGUAGUGGUAGAAGAAGCACCGGCUAACUACGUG